GGGUAUCUAGUGGCGGCCUUCUUCGUUGCACGCUUUUCCGAGAUCACUGUCAUCUGAAUUCCACAUCCAAGAUGGUCCAACUGGCUACACUCCUGACUUGCGGGCUUCUGGUCGGCAUUGCGCAUUCCGAACAAGGUUGUGAGAGCAAUAAUAAUCAGGCCUGGAAGGCUGUCUCGCAUCCAGAUGGUGGAACCUUUUCGCUUCUGAAGUCAACCACUACAAACGCAAGGAAAUGUUUGACUGUCGAGGCACCCAUAGAAGGAAGUGGACCCUGGAUGGAAAAGGACCUCACAUUUAGGUUCAAGAGCGGUACUCAAAAGGA